GAGGAGCUCGCAGAGAACACGGAAGGGCAGAAGGAAGAGAUCGGGGCACAGAAGGCUGAGGCCUGCUCAGCAUCAUCUCUGGGGAGGGAGGCGGAGGUUUGCAUGGGAACUGCUGAGUCGGGGCCUGAAGCACUGAUUGAGCACCUGGAGGGAAGUCCCUGUGAGCACAGGUGAAGGCAAUUCACUGUGUGACCAGAAGGGGAGGAGCCUGGCUGCACCCCUCUUCAGGCUCAUUUAAGGGCUGACUGCCAGUGAGGAAGGAUCUCUUUCUGGAGCUUCCUCCUUGGUGGAGGCCUUCCCCUGCAAACCCAAAAUCUUUGGAUACAGGUGGGUGAUGUGCUUCCCUUCCCUUGCAGCACUGUGCUGUUGCGCUGCUGCUUGCACCUCUUUUCUAACACGAUUUCCAUGGCACUGGGCCUUCUGAUCGCUACCAUAUUUAACAGGAGUUUUGGAGUUUGUCAGCAGCAAAAAGGAGACCAAGGAAUGCAGGGGUGCCAACCGCCUUCUCUUCUUCAGCGGGCACAGCGGAGAGCGCUCCUCAGGGAUCCCGGAGGAGGUGGUAAGGGACGAUGUAGGUGAAAUGUGUGUCUGCAAGUCCCUUGGUCCUAAUGGGAUACAGGUGUGUGUGCUGAGGAGACAGCCCAACAGCUGUCUGUGACUUUGUCUGAUCUGUGCUAUAGGAAAUGUGUCUGAGGACCAGAGGACAGCCAGCGUGGGCGCAGCCUUCAAACAGGGCGUGAAGCACGGCGUCCCCUCGAUCCCCAGGGAGAUGAGGGAACAACUUGUUCUAGGUGUCACAUCCUGGCCCGGGGAAGAGAAGAAAAUAGUCCGGGGCAGUCGAGGCGGAUCCAGCUGGACCGAGCCGGUAGCAUUGUGCAGGAGUCUCGCUGAUGGGAGCCAUAUGGCAUUCACGGAUGGGAACACCGGCAGGAAGAAGGAUUGGACUGUGAGUGACGGAGCGGUUGCAGCGUCCCCUUGGCUGGGGCUGCAGAAGUUGGGUCUGGAGGCUUUCCCAGGUGAGGCGCCCUAGGGAGCGGGCCCUUCCCCUCCCUCUGGCUGAGUUGUUUUGUUUUUGUUUCAGGGUGCUCUGCAACUGGAGGGCCGCCAGCCCCAGCAGGUCCCCGAGCUCUUU
rnacentral:lncRNA from 1 species